rnacentral:lncRNA from 1 species
AUGACAAUACCCUCCUCUGGGACAAUCUAUAUUCUUCAGUCUGUUGAGGUUCAGUGCCCACCCUUGGAUUUAAAGCAGACCCCAUCUCUAGAGCCAAAACAGAAGCCUGGGUUAGCUUCCGUGAAACUUCCCUGGGUCAUCUGUCAUCUAGGUAUAGGUGUGCAUAUACAUAUAAGCGCCCACAAGGACUGUCUUGAGGUUUGGAGAAUUACUGAACUACUGCCAGUGUCAGCUCAAUUUGAAAGAGGACAGAAGAGAACCUGCCACUGCAGGACACUUUCCCCUUUAAUGUGCCAGGAAGCCCAGAAGCCAGAGGAUCCUGCACCUCGGACCCUGGAAUUAUCGCUUCAUCCCACCAUGAAGACGGAAAUCUCCUGAUUUGGAGAAGAGAAAAUUGAGUAGAAGGAGAGAAAACUGGGAUCCUGAUGGCUAGAGUGACAGCCACCAUCUCACAACCAGUUCAUGAUAGAGCCAGACUUUGAAUCUCAAGCAUCUUAAUUUCUAGCUCAGUGCUCUUUACAUCACAUUCCUCUGUUUCCUUUUAUUUAAAAAAAUACAAUAAAUAAAACAUAAAAAUAAAUAACA